CUUAACCCUAAUUGCUAUGUAAGUCACUCUGGGUAAGAGUGUCUGCUAAAAAAUGUAUGUUGUUUUAUUGAUACUGGAGAGGAUUCCCAUUUCCCCUUACUCCCCUAAGGAUAUAUCGCCAGUCAAGUGAUAAGGUGGUUUAAUGGUGGUUUGUACAUACACUGUUUAUAAGGGCACAAGGCGAGACCCAGAUGCAGACACAGUAGGCAGAUGGUUUGAGUCUCUGACAUUAAUUACAAUCCAAGGGGUAGGCAAGAGAAUGUUCAUGGACAGGCAAAAGAUCAAAACCAGGUCAGAGUCCAGGAGGUACAGAGUGACAGGCAGGCUCAAGGGCAGGGCAAGCAAAAUGGUCAGGCAGGCGGGUUCAGAGUCCAGACAGGCAAGGGUCACAAUCAGGGGGACUAGCAAAACAGAGCGAAGGGAAAAAGCAGGAUACCGGGAAACAACACACUGGUUGACUUAACAAACAAGACGAACUGGCAACAGACAAGCAGGAAACACAGGAAUAAGUACCCAGGGACCAAUGAGGAAAACAGGUGACACCUGGAGAAGGGUGGAGACAAUCACAAAGACAGGUGAAACAGAUCAGGAUGUGGCACUGUUACAUACAAGGACCAGGGGUGGAAUUUCCACAUUUUGACUGUGACAUUUUUUCCCUUUCCAAACACUUUUUCCCCUAUACCUUUUCAGGCCUCUGGGAUUUGUGGUGGGAACUGAGAACAACUGAGCACAUUAUAACACACACUGGAACUUGUCCCAGUACUUGUUCCAGUCAUCACAACCAUGAGGUCACAGAACAUCUACCUCUUAUGCAACCUACCCAAGAUAUCAAAUGCUCUCCUUAAAAGAUGCCUGACGAAUCAAAGUGAAUUCUUCCGCUGCUCUAUGUUCGCUACAUAGAUCAGUCUUAAGCUGCCAUCAUUGAAGUAAUUUUUUUAAAUGUCAAAAUGUCCUGGCUCUGGCUCAACCCAUCGAUUUCUGGGACCAAUCAUAACGGUUAGAAUGUUUUUCCAUUCUAGAGUUCGUAGGGGAGGAACUCAGAGCCAGAUUCAGAAACGGGAUUAAAUUAUUCUGGCCCGGGAGCCCCGAGUUGGUGUGUUUCGCACCGGGUGAAAGUUGAUUGCAUUAGUUUUGGAACCGGGCUGCCUCCCAGGUGUGAGCCAGGUGCCCUAUUCAAAGCCCAUGGCGACGUUGGCUGCAAUGAAAGUAAUUAGCACGUGGAGUAAUGAGUAGGAUUAUGUUUUGUCAAAUGCAAAAGUGAUUGCUUUUGAUAACGCUAUAUCUGCCUUCCCAAUGAAAACUAGUUAGAAAUUUCAAACAUAUUGCAGCGACCCUGGUUUAUGAACAUGGAUUUUCGACUCUGCCACUUGAGCAGGCUUUUGUGGCACAGUCGAUAGCGCACUGGACUUUGAGGGUUCGAGAUGUGUUCCCUGCCUGUUUUCAUUACAUUGGUGUUGGAAGGGAUCAGACCUGGCAUCCAUGACAGUGUGUGUGCUUGGUCAGUGACCUCAUUCCUGUAAGACUGCGUCCUAUGGUCUAGUGUGAGGACGCACUCUUUGAAAGGAGGGAGUUGUGUUGCGACCCUGGUUUAUAAGCGAAGAUAUCGACUUUGUCACUUGAGCAUGCUUUUGUGGCACAGUCGAUGACCCGCUGGACAAGGCCAACACGCGGGUGGCAGCCCGGGAUGGCCCUAAACAGUUUCCCAUGCAUUGUCAAUCAACCCGGAUGUAAUAUAAUUCUGGCCACAUGUUGACUUAGUGGCGCUUCUCCUUGCAGGACGUGGGAUGGGGAAGGGACGCACACACUGUAAACAGGAAUAGGUGCAUCACCGGUCACUGAGCUAGCAAGCUAAAGUUAGCUAGUUAGUCACAUACAUGUACGUUCAGCCUGUUAAUUAUUUCAUUUCGAUUUGACUUAUCUUACGAAGUCAGCAUGGCUUAACAUAGUUUCUUUCGUUUUUGAACUCGACCUUGUUGCUCGAUAGGUAUUUUCAUAGCUAACAUGCUGUUGCUGUUAGCUAGCUAAUGCUAGCAGCGCUGGCUAACCUCAUAUCUGGAUGCCUUACUCUAGUUCAGGAAAGAGAGUUACUUACUGGCCCUCCAUUCCCAAACCUGAAGCCAACUGUUCCCAGCAGGAAAGACCAGGAAAAAGUGUUGGCUCAAGGUACAACUUCCUAUUGAAGAAAUAUCUGCCAACCUGCUCGGUGGGUGACAGGUAACCAGGUAACCGUCUUUCCACCAAGCUGUUCCAGGCCUGGAGUGGCACGCUGGAACUUCCAGAGGCUUGUAGACCUGAAGCAGUGUGAUGUGGUCCAGAUCUGCCAGCAGUUCAGCUGCAGUCACAGCAGUCUUCUGCUGUGGUAGUUAAUUUACCGGCUGCACCAAUGCCUACUACACUGGCCGUGAAAGGAGAAACUCACAUGCACAUUUGUGGCCUGCUGGAGGUCAUUUUGCAGGGCUCUGGCAGUGCACCUCCUUGCACAAAGGCGGAGGUAGCGGUCCUGCUGCUGGGUUGUUGCCCUCCUACGGCCUCCUCCACGUCUCCUGAUGUACUGGCCUGUCUCCUGGUAGCGCCUGCAUGCUCUGGACACUACGCUGACAGACACAGCAAACCUUUUUGCCACAGUUCGCAUUGAUGUGCCAUCCUGGAUGAACUGCACUACCUGAGCCACUUGUGUGGGUUGUAGACUCCGUCUCAUGCUACCACUAGAGUGAGAGCACCGCCAGCAUUCAAAAGUGACCAAAACAUCAGCCAGGAAGCAUAGGAACUGAGAAGUGGUCUGUGGUCACCACCUGCAGAAUCACUCCUAUUUUGGGGGGUGUCUUGCUAAUUGCCUAUAAUUUCCUCUUUUUGUCUAUUCCAUUUGCACAACAGCAUGUGAAAUUUAUUGUCAAUCAGUGUUGCUUCCUAAGUGGACAGUUUGAUUUCACAGAAGUGUGAUUGACCUGGAGUUACAUUGUGUUGUUUAAGUGUUCCCUUUAUUUUUUUGAGCAGUGUAUGAUCUAAUGUACUGUGAAGGUAUCCCAUAUUGCAUAAUCCUGGGACUUAAUUUAAAACCGGAAACUAGAGAGACCUAGCCAAGAAGGGGGCUCUGGUACAAAAACAAAGGUAUAACAUUUAAGUACAAGGAGUAAAAAUACCAUAUCUGUGGCCCAAAUGGCACCAUAUUCCCUAGCGCACUACUUUUGAACAGAGCCCUAUAGACCCCACUCAUGAAAAAUACUAGUGAAUUACUACACGGAACCUAUUUGAGCGGUAGUGACUAUGUAGUGAAAGUGUAGUUUAUGCACUACUCAAGAUAAACAAGUAGAGUUUUUUUUUUGUAGUGUUCAGUAGGAAAACAGUAGUGUUUCCAGUAGUAAUCAGGUAGAGAUUUUUAAUACUUGGUACUACACUAGAGCCAGACUACCGGCUUUUCGCGACUACAGAAGAAGUCCUUUGUAGUCCUCUCUUUCAUAGCCCUGUAGGUUUUUAGGAUACUGUAUACCCAAAAGCUCAGUAGUUACACAGUAGUCAUUAAGGGAGAAUGGAAAUAAAUUGGAAAUACAUAGUGUUCACCAGUAGUGAAGCAUCCCAAUGUAUCACUCAUUACUACUUAAAUUACUACAUAAAUCACUACCGGUUUAUUACACAUCUCAAUAGCAAUGAAGUAGUAAAACCAGUAGGUUUUGUGUAGAUCUUGUGUAGUAGUGAUGAGUAGUAAUUCAGUAGUACUUUUUCAUGAGGGAAAUGUACUACGUAGGGAAUAGGAUGCCAUUUGGGACACAGCCCUUGAGUAAACAGACCAGGUGGAUGUUUGGGUUGUUAGAGGCCGGAGGUUAAAUUCAGAGGACAUUGUCUCGUAAUUGUUAUCUAAUCCUGUAACUUAAUUUAGAGUCUCACAUAAAAUAGCUGUUGUGUAAUUUGUGGUCUUGAUGCAUGGUGCGCCUAAUAUGCCAACUGGGUUUUGAACCCAGGUUGUCUGUGCACCAGAAGACAGUGUUAGGCCGCUAAACUAAUGCAAGCUAAAGCCUAGGCAUUAGUUUGUGGAGUUAAUACUAGUCUCAGGCAAGUUUACUCAUCACAUAAGCAUGAUGGGGCAACGCACUGGGCAAUGCCACUGUUUGUUUGACUUCCAUGAGUGCAGGUUUUCCAUUUUCAGUUUCAAUGCCAUUGAAGGCAUAUAUUCCCCUCAGAAAAUGUAUUGUUUUAGAAGACUUUAUUUCAAUGUGCCUAUCCAAUAUGCAUCAGUUAAGAUAUCCUUCACAGUGAGUUAGUUAGCAGACAUGGUCUAGCCACUCUAGACCUGAAAUGCAACUAUCUCCAAAUGAAUGAAUGUUAAAUCUAUUCAGUUCUUACAUCUAUUAUAGACCUGGCCAAUCAAGUGUGACCUGUGACUGCAGUGUAAUCAAUUUAAAAAACAAGCCGACCUGGAAACCUUAGUUUAGCAUAAUCAGUUUAACUCAAUGGGGAAGCUUCUAGUCUCUGGGAAUUAAAUAAACAUUUGAGGAACUGAAGAUCUGCUUGCAAAUGGGCACACAGUCCCCAUUUUACAGGAGUAUUUUUUUUUUUUUGAGCCACUUUCCCAUUCGUUUUUAACGAGAGCUCAUCCGCGGAAGUCCCAAUCUGAAACAUUUGGCAUGCCUUCUCAACCCAAUUAUUUGGUAAAGACCUUUAGAGUCUGUUAAUCUGUAAACAAACAUAGCAAGCCAUUCAUAGAACCCAACCAGGAAGCGAGCAUAUAUCUAGUUCCAUACCCUUUACACUAGGUGUGUGUAGCAACUAGCCUAUCUAGUAUCUGCUAUGCUCACAUGCAAAUCAUAGAGCAAUGGCUUGUAUUUAAAUGAUGAGGGCAUAGGAACACUUUGAGUUAUUAUAUCAUAAUGUUAUGUAAGUCAUUAAAGGAUAGUUCACUAUUUUACAACUUGAUGUUAGAUGGUUCUUCAACCUGAUAGUAGUCUAUUGGCCAAGAAUAAAUGUAAUCCAGGAUUCCGUUUUUUAAACAGCCACUACAAACUUCAGCUAACUGUAGCCACCAUAAGCAAUGUGGUGACAAACAGAAAGACAGACAGAGACAGAUAGACUGUGUAAAUCAGUGCUGUGUGUGGUGUAAAUCAGCUACUGCAGCUUUAUUGCUGAACUCACUGGCACUUGACUUCUCCAUGUGUUUGGUCCAUCAGGGAAACCCUGGGCUGCAGAAGGGCAAUCAUUAGCCAAGUGUCAAGUUUGGUCUCCACAUUCAAAACCACAGUUCAUGGUUUGGUCAUGCAGUGAUGUAGUCAAGUCACUUAACAGUCAAGUCCCAAGUCCGCAAUAUCUGAUUGUCAGAGUCCGUAAUAUUCGAGUCACGAGUCCUUUAGUAGUGCUAAAAGUUCGAUUUUGAAUUCUAGGACCCCUUUAGGUAUAGAAAAUAUAUUUUACAAGAUUAUUUGAUGAAACACUGAAUUUGGCCUUACUGCUAUUAGUCCAUACAAAUCCAUUGAAUAACAGAUUUGUAUGAUAUAAAAAAGAUCCUAAUAUUGAGUCAUUGGGCAUGGACUCUACAAGGUGUCGAAAGCAUGCCAAUGCUUACCACAGUUGUGUCAAGUUGGCUGGAUGUCCUUUGGGUGGUGGACCAUUAUUGAUACACACAGGAAACUGUUGAGCAUUUAAAUAUUUUGGCUUGCCCAUUCAACCUCUGAAUGGCACACAUACAAAAUACAUGUCUCAAUUGUCUCAAGGCUUAAAAAUCCUUAUUUUACCUCUCUCCUCCCCUUCAUCUACACUGAUGUUGAUUUAACAAGUAAUAAGGGAUCAUGGCUUUCACCUGGAUUCACCUGGUCAGUCUAUGUCAUGGAAAGAGCAGGUGACCUUAAUGUUUUGUACACUUAGUGUAUACCACCAUUUGUUUCAUGCAGCGCAACACAUCUCCUUUGCAUAGAGUUGAUCAGGCUGUUGAUUGUGGCCUGUGGAAUGUAGACCCACUCCUCUUUAAUGGCUGUGCGAAGUUACUGGCGGGAACUGGAACAUGCUGUCGUACACGUUGAUCCAGAGCAUACCAAACAUGCUAAAAUGGGUGACAUGUUUGGUGAGUAUGCAAGCCAUGGAAGAACUAGGACAUUGUGUACAGCUUCCAGGAAUUGUGUACAGAUCCUUGCGACAUGGGGCCAUGCAUUAUCAUGCUGAAACAUGAGGUGCUGGCGGCGGAUGAAUAGCACGACAUUGGGCCUCAGGAUCUCAUCAAGAUAUCUCUGUGCAUUCAAAUUGCCAACGAUAAAAUGAAAUUGUAUUUGUUGCUCGUAGCUUAUGCCUGCCCAUACCAUAACCCCACAGCCACCAUGGGGCACUCUGUUCACAACGUUGACAUCAGCCCAUACCACGCCAUACACGCUGUCUGCCCGGUACAGUUGAAACCGGGAUUAAUCUGUGAAGAGCAAACUUCUAGAGUAGGAGAGGAUGAGUGAUAUAUAAAGAGAAGGAUGGAUGAUAUUGUUCUCCCCUAAGUGGAGAGCUGAACAGACAUGGGGUACAUGAUGUAGAUUAAGAAAUGGAGGAAACUACUCUACACUCUACCGUACAUCUCAACAAUGUAGAGUAAUUUCCUCUCCUUUUCUUAAUCUACACUGAUCUGAGAAGACAUCUGGAUAAAGACUUUUCAAAUCAGCGCAGAUUACAUAAAUCAAAUAGGGACUACAUCCCAAAUGGCAUGCUAUUCCCUAUGAAGUGCACUACUUUUGACCAGAAUCAAUAUGGCUCUGGUCGUAAGUAGUGCACUAUAAUAUACAGAUGUAGGAUCUUAAUUUGAUCACUCUUUUGUUCUGGAGAAUUUUCCUAUACAGCAGGAAUUGCAAACUUGCAGUGUGUUCAAGGUUUAAAAAGGCUUUUAAAUGCUGACAUUUACACUUUAAAAUGUCAGACUUUAUUGCCCUAACAAAAAAUUAUCCAUGAAUUGUAAUUCACAUUUCCUGUUACUGCAGGAUUAUUUUCCUGCUAUUGCAAACUAGCUCAAAUUAAGAUCCUACAUCUGUAGGGAAUAGUGUGUCAUUUGGGACACAGCCAGGGAGAGUAAAUAACUUUACAUUAUUGAGAUCUCUCUCUGUCAAGACAGUCCUCCAUGUCACUUUGAACUUGUCUUACAGCUGUGCCAAACUUUGGGGAGCCCCCGGCUUUAGCCUUGUUUGGGUAGCUUUGAUUUGAGUUUGGGUACAGCAGCUUUACUUUAGGCUUCUCUGCUAGAUUUGGCUACAGUCGUGUUACGUGCCGCUACCCACCAUUAAGCCCCUGAAAAUGUAUGUCUCUGUCUACUCAGUACUGUGUACUCUAAGCUUUAGCCUGGUGCCUGGCAUGUUCCAGGUGGCAGUUUACUGGGAGACUGGACACGCAAACUGCACAACCCAUGCUGUGAGCAGUGUCACAUCCACUACUAACAGGGGGUCAUACUGGGACUUGUGUGUGUGUAGCUACAGUACAUUGAGGGAGCAGUGGCGGUGGCUUGCUGGGUGAGACUUACAAGGCUCUCAGUCACCCCGGCUAAUAGGAUUGGGCUGGGUGCCAAAGGGCCGACAGAAGACCGCUUCAAAGGUCAGGGAUCACAGGGAAACUUAAAUAUGAAGCAGCGGGAUGCCAAGGCCAAGCAGAGAGAGAAAGGUGGGGGGAGGUUGGGUUUUCUGCAUCAAGUUUUGUUGAUCUGGUUGAAAGGGAUUUGAUCAGAGCCCCCAUUCUUGCCAGGGUUGGGAUUUGGGUGAGCAGGUAAUUCGUAGGGAAACACGCAGUAUUUGAGAUCAUGAAAUUGUUUCCCCAGCCUUAAUCUGAAUGUUUUUGGUCUUUUGACCUGUUGGUAGUGCGAAGGCAACAGUGUAAAUAGCAUCAAAACAAGCAGAUAUCAGGUCAUUUUGAGCAAACACACAGCUUAGCAAAUCUAUUACAUGGAGUUUAUACCUAGAAAUGUCUGCCUCAUGGCUCUGGUCCAUCCCCACAGACUUACCACAAGGUCAAUGAAGGACCCCAAGAGUGUAUUAGGUUGCGUUCACAAUGUGUGUAUGAGUGUGUAUGAGCCUGCGUUCACAAUGGAACCAAUGGAAUAGUUCCAAUAGAAAAACCACGUGUCACUGCUGAAUGGCUCAAUCAAAAGUUCUAAGUAUUUGAAAGAAAAUAAAUACUAUUCGGACCCAGGUUUGAUCUCCACCAUACAGCGCUACACUGAUGUGUCAUAUGUCAUCAUUCCAUUUACAUUUUAGUCAUUUAGCAGACGCUCUUAUCCAGAGCGACUUACAGUAGAGUGCAUACAUUUUACAUACUGAGACAAGGAUAUCCCUACCGGCCAAACCCUCCCUAACCCGGACGACGCUAUGCCAAUUGUGCGUCGCCCCACGGACCUCCCGGUUGCGGCCGGCUGCGACAGAGCCUGGGCGCGAACCCAGCCCAGCCUGGGCACGAACCCAGAGACUCUGGUGGCGCAGCUAGCACUGCGAUGCAGUGCCCUAGACCACUGCGCCAUCCGGGAGAUCAUGAAAUGUCAUAAGUCAUGUCAUAUAUCAUCAUGUUAUGUAUGGAUUACAUAAGGCUAAUCUGUGAUCCAUCAUGCCAUUGUUUGCAGUAGCUUUAUGAUGGGACUACUCAUUAAUGAAGCUGAUCUGAGAUCUGUCAUUCCUGUGUUUUUCCCAUAGCCUAAUGUUGAUACUUCUCAGUAAACAUGCCCUGAGGAGUGUGUUUUCAUUAUGUUCAGCAGCGUGAGCUGAUUAUGCUGUUAUCGUUGGCAUGACCAUAAAAACCUGGCUAUGGCUCAUAAAAGAGCUAUGCUCUGGGACACACUGAGCCCGAUCGGGGUGUAAACAUCAUAAAACAGAGGCAGCACCAUAUCAUUGAGUAAGUGUGUGCACACACCCACAUACACACAGAUAAAUAGAUACAGACACAGAAGUGUCAAAGUCUGGCCAGUUGCCAAGAAGUGUGUGUGUGGAGAACAUUUCCUGUAUGAUAGACUAUGGCAUUAGGUAAAAUUACUCUCUUUAAGUUAAUGUCUUUUAGGAGUACAGGGUCCGUAACAUUACUGAUACACUGUAACUGAUCACCUUUGAAGUUAUUCCAUAGAAUAAACCAUUUUGACCUGAGGAAUGUAAUUUGAUAAUGGUUACCACUUAUCAAUCACUGCUGAAAGUACAAAUAACAAGCCUAUAAUAACCAUAUAAGAGAGUACGUUAGUGUAAGGGUAUUCGGGCAAUCUGCAAUCAAAGUUUGAUGAGGACAAAAGGUAACGCUUCUGAACAAAGUGGUGAAUCCAUGUGGUGAAAUGGUGCUCAAGGUCACAUCGACAGAUUGUUCACCUAGUCGUCUUGGGGAUUCAAACCAGCAACCUUUUGGUUAGUGACCCAACACUCUUAAACACUAAUGGUGUCACACCUGCCGCCCAAUGGAGUGAGUACCUCCUGAGGCACUGAACUCACACACACAUACACAUAUCCCUUCUAUCCACACACUAUCUGUCCAGAGGCAUUCUUUUGAUAAAAGGCAUUUUGAAUGUUGAUAUGAACUUUCUGGCCUUAGAAUAUUGAACAGGAUGGCAUUUAGGGCUCCUGGGUGGUGCAGUGGUCUAAGGCACUGCAUCUCAAUGCAAGAGGCGUCACUACAGUACCUGGUUUGAAUCCAGGCUGUAUCACAUCUGGACGUGAUUGCAGCGUCGUCCCGGUUUGGCCGGGGUAGGCUGUCAUUGUAAAUAAGAAUUUGUUCUUAACUGACUUGCCUAGUUAAAUAAAGGUUACAUUAAAACAUGGCAUGGUAUGUUUGCAGUCAUGAGAACAAACCUCUUCUGAAAUCUAUCUGAACUAUGUGAAGGGAAUAGAAAUUAAAUAUUUCCAUGUUUUUGCCAGCAAACAAUUCAGCAAAGUCAGCAAACAAUUCCUUUGGGAGCUCAUUUAAAUGGCAGCAUCAGCUACAGCAAUAUACAACUAUGGUAUACUAUAACAGCUAUUGUAUACUGUAACAGCUACUGUAUACAACAAUAAGAGAGAGUUUGUUGAAAUAUAAUUUGCAAUGUGGAAAACUUGCUGACUGCACAUACACACACAUACACACACAGGGCCUUUCAACCAGACUGCGCCUGUACAGAUUAAUUUUGUAUUGCUCAGAAAGAUGGCAGGAAUAUGAGCAUUUGUGAUUUCAGACUUUUUUGUUAUGAUACUUAUUUUAUUUACUUAUUUUAUGCCAUUUUAUUAUCAUCAUAAAUAUCAGUACAAUAACUUUUAGGUAUAAGCAAACGAAAGUCAUACUUCUGAGUAUAAGACAUCCUAUUGUAAACUUAUUCAUUCAGAAAAACAACAUGCUCUCUGUUUAUGAUACUGUGGGGUUGGAGUCAUAUGUGAGCAGAGUAAAUAGUUGCAGUGCGUUCACAUAGACUUUAGUGUAGCCUCUGAUUUUCAGUUGUCAUUUCCAUUUUGUGAAAUAACCCUGUGGACUGCAACAGGGAGGGAAUACCUGCGCCUGUCCAAUAAAACAUUUACAAAAUCUGUUUCCAAUGCAAAACGUUUUGCUACAUUCUACUAAUUACAAUACCCUUUAUUGUCCAUUACUUUAUUGUCCAUUAGGACAAUGGAAAUGUAUCUUCUGCUCCGUUCUCAACCCCCCCAGACAGCACACAUCACACGUACAGUUGAGAUGAGUGUACAAAACAUUAUAAACAUGCUCUUUCCAUGACCUAGGUGAAUCCAGGUGAAAGCUAUGAUUCCUUAUUGAUGUCACUUGUUAAAUCCACUUCAAAUCAGUGUAGAUGAAGGAGAGGAGACAGGUUAAAGAAGGAUUUCUAAGCCUUGAGACAAGUGAGACAUGGAUUGGGUAUGUGUGCCAUUCAGAGGGUGAAUGGGAAAGACAAAAGAUUUAAGUGCCUUUGAACUGUGUAUGGUAGUAAGUGCCAGGUGCACCGGUUUGAGUGUGUCAAGAACUGCAACGCUACUGGGGUUUUUCACACUUAACAGUUUCCCUUGUGUGUCAAGAGUGGUCUACCACCCAAAGGACAUGCAGCCAACUUGACACAACUGUGGAAAGCAUUGGAGUCAACAUGGGCCAGCAUCCAUGUGGAACGCUUUCGACACCUUGUAGAGUCCAUGCCCGAAUUGAGGCUGUUCCUAGGGCAAAAAUAUGAGCAAGAUGUUCAUAAUGUUUUGUACACACAGUGUACAUUUUUAUUAUGUUGUUUUCAAAAUCUGUAGUAGACAAAUUAGUAUAAAAUCUAUAGGUAUACAAAAGGGAUAAGUGAUUAUCAAUUAAGAGCCGUCGGAUUAAGUAAUAGUAAAAUGUAUUGUAACAAAUGAGAAGAGAAUAUCGAAAGUAAAGUGAGCAUUGCAUUGUGAAAGGCAAUUACUUUAUAUGAAGAUGUAUUGUAAUUUGAAAUAUGUAUUUCUAGAUUAAACAUUGAAUAAGUUUGGUGAAAAA